UUCAGUCACCGUGGACAAAGAAAAGCCGC
rnacentral:piRNA from 1 species